CCCGCACAAGCGGUGGAGCAUGUGGUUAAUUCGAAGCAACGCGAAGAACCUUACCAGGUCUUGACAUCCCGAUGCUAUUUCUAGAGAUAGAAAGUACUUCGGUACAUCGGUGACAGGUGGUGCAUGGUUGUCGUCAGCUCGUGUCGUGAGAUGUUGGGUUAAGUCCGCAACGAGCGCAACCCCUAUCGUUAGUUGCCAUCAUUCAGUUGGGCACUCUAGCGAGACUGCCGGUAAUAAACCGGAGGAAGGUGGGGAUGACGUCAAAUCAUCAUGCCCCUUAUGACCUGGGCUACACACGUGCUACAAUGGUUGGUACAACGAGUUGCGAGUCGGUGACGGCGAGCUAAUCUCUUAAAGCCAAUCUCAGUUCGGAUUGUAGGCUGCAACUCGCCUACAUGAAGUCGGAAUCGCUAGUAAUCGCGGAUCAGCACGCCGCGGUGAAUACGUUCCCGGGCCUU
rnacentral:rRNA from 1 species